rnacentral:lncRNA from 1 species
AAGCCUAUUAACAGAGCGCUGAGUUUAAGACGAUGAAUUUUGCUGGGAUGUAGUACGAUGUAGCUCGUAUUUCACGAGCAGGCUGGCAUGCAUAUUGGUCCUCAACUGGCUCUUGUCCUGCAAAUUCAGUGAUGGAAGUACCCACACUUACCCCUACAGCAUGAAGGUUAGAGAAACACAAAGCAUUUUGAUAACCCUGAAAAACCUGCCUAAGACUUCUGAUCUUAGGGCACCUGUGUGUGCAUGCAACAUCUUCUUAAAAGUCUAUGACAUCCUUCAUUAACUCUCACUGAUGGAAAGGGAGCAUUUAGUCCAAGAUUUUUUACUACACCAGGAGAGGCAAGACAAGGCAAGGCAAGGAUGCCAGGAGGUCAAAAAUAAUUCAGAAUUUGCACCAUACUGUAUUUUUGUUUGGACAAGUGCUUUUUUUAAUAAAAGAAGCUCUGUCAUAAUCCCUGCAAUUAAUAAAAUUAUCUGAAG